rnacentral:lncRNA from 1 species
AGUGUUUUAUAUUUCCUUUCCUGCAAUAUUAAUAAUAAAGAAUUCGCCAUAGGGUAAUACUUAGGGGAAAAAAAGGGAAUUGAACAGGCUCAAUAUCAAUUUUUUCUGAGCGGCGGUAAUGGAGGUUGAAGAAGGAAAGAGAGAUAACAUGAAUUAUUGUGAUCUUGUCCCAUCCUCAAUUUCUUUCUUGCUCUAACUGACAGCGUUUAAACUUCUGCACAUGUGAACCAAUUUGCGGCAAGUAGAGGACCUUUUAACAUCCCAUAUGCAACAAUACUAACAAGACACUGUGUCGUAUUCUCUACAUGCUUGAAGUUGAACUAUUUCUAUAUACGAUAAACAAUAAUUUCAAACUAUGCCUGAUUUCCAGUGUGAUUUGAAGUUGACCGAUUUAUGUUCCAUCAGGUCCCCAAAAGGUUUUUAAAGACAGACAAGCGCAGCCAACAUAAGGCGCUUCCAAAUGAAUAUGUACCUGAUG